rnacentral:rRNA from 1 species
AACGAACGCUGGCGGCAGGCUUAACACAUGCAAGUCGAGCGCCCCGACAGGGGAGCGGCAGACGGGUGAGUAACGCGUGGGAACGUACCUUUUGGUUCGGAACAACUCCGGGAAACUGGAGCUACUACCGGAUAAGCCCUAACGGGGAAAGAUUUAUCGCCGAACGAUCGGCCCGCGUCUGAUUAGCUGGUUGGUGAGGUCACGGCUCACCAAGGCGACGAUCUGUAGCUGGUCUGAGAGGAUGAUCAGCCACACUGGGACUGAGACACGGCCCAGACUCCUACGGGAGGCAGGAGUGGGGAAUAGUGGACAAUGGGCGCAAGCCUGAUCCAGCCAUGCCGCGUGAGUGAUGAAGGCCUUAGGGUUGUAAAGCGCUUUUGUCCGGGAAGAUAAUGACUGUACCGGAAGAAUAAGCCCCGGCUAACUUCGUG